CGGGCAGUCGGGCCUGCGCCUUGGGGGGGAAAAGGGCGGAGGGGUCUCACACACUCGUCUCUCACAGCUCACUUCGUUCUCAGACCGAAACCCCAACCAGUCGCUGCGUUUGUGUUCCAUACUUCCAUUCUUCUUGCUCCGGCGGCCACCAGCUCGCCGUGCAAACCCGGAAAUGUCAUUCUUGAAAUACUUUGGGGGUGACAUGGGAGCUCUAUUUUUGGUAUAUUUGUUUAUUAGCUGGGCACCUUUUUCAGGUUUGAAGUGAACCCCAGAUAGUUUCUUCACUGUGGCCCUCAUUUGUGAUAGCUCAGUGCUGAUCUCAGUAAGUCAAUUACUGAGAAGAGUUAAUUAUUACUUUUCAAAAAUGACAGAAAUAAUCAGUUACACUGCAUGCAGACAGUUAUCUCAGAUGUUUUUGGCAAUAAUUUUCUUUCACGGUUCUGAAUAUAUUCUAGCAGUUUCCUUUCAUGGGAGAUCAAAUGUUACUCUUAGUUCUCUCCUGAUAACCAAGAACUACGUCCUGGCAAUAAUCUGUUCAUUGCUGGAGUAUUUUGCUGAAAUAAUUUUAUUUCCCGGGUUGAAAGAAUACUGGUGGAUAAGUAACUUGGGCCUUGUAAUGGUUAUAAUUGGGGAACUAAUACGGAAGUUGGCCAUUCUAACCGCUGGUCAGGCAUUCACGCAUCUCAUUAGGGUUUAUCAUGUGGAGCAUCACGAAUUAAUUACUCAUGGAGUUUAUAGAUUUGUCCGACAUCCUGGAUAUUGUGGUUUUUUCAUUUGGUCAAUUGGUACACAAAUAAUGCUAUGUAAUCCCAUAUCCACAGCUGCAUUUGCAGUUGUUGUUUGGUACUUCUUUGCAAAACGGAUACCGUAUGAAGAGUUUUUUCUGAGGCAGUUUUUUGGGCCACAGUAUGAUGAAUAUGCCCAGCGUGUUUCUUCUGGAAUACCUUUUGUGAAGUGAAGACAUGUGAAGCUUGUGAACUGCCCUGCUCUCAUUAAUCUAUUUCAUUUUGUCAAGAAAGUUCUGAUGUUGUUUCUGUGAACUGUGAAGUGGUGUUGAAUCUCUCAGACUGAAUGGAUUAAGGUUGGGGAGUGAGCUGGAAUUUACGUCUCUUCUAUGAAGAGAUUUCAUACUUAUUGGAAACUUAACAGAUUGAAGCUUGGGUGAUAACCCUGUUAUUGUAAUCUUCUUAAGCCGGUCUGUUGCUACAUCCAUGUCGAAGAUGUUUCGUGGAUAAUAUUGCUCAAGCUCAUAAAGACUCUCAUGUGGAAUAUUUAUCAAAUCAAAUGCAAAAUUGAAAUGAGACACUUACUGCUGUAAGGUUCUUCUUCCUUGUCCUUUUUCUUUCCAUUUUCUUUAAAAUCCUUUCUUUUCUCUCCUUACAUUUUUUGUUCAUCAGAAACUGGUUGAUUUGGGAGAAUAGUAGGUGUGCUGCUAUCUACCACUAUAGAUUUCUAUGUUUUUUUUCUGUCUGGUAACAAUGAUUUAAUUUAAACACUUGCAAAACA